rfam:Gossypium arboreum cultivar AKA8401 contig_4690_5, whole genome shotgun sequence.
UCUUUUAAAUUUUGUUUAUAUUAUUAAAUUUUGAUAUAAUUGAUGAAAUAAUUAACUAGCAAUAUAUAAAAGUUUUUAUGGGGCAUAGGCCUCUCAAAAGGUAAUGAAGGCGUGCAAAAGAUUUCUUUGGCCGGACGGAAAUUGGCCCUCAAGUGUAAAGUCAGAAGGGAGCUUGGCUGCAAGACCCACCCGUUGAGCAAAGACAACAUUCGGCCUUAGGGAUCCGACGAUACCAAGUGGAAAGGUUAUUGCUCAACGGAUUAAAGUUACUCUAGGGAUAACAGGCUGAUCUUCCUCAAAAAUUCACAUCGACAAGAAGGUUUGGCACCUCGAUGUCGACUCUUCGCCACUUGGGACUAUAGUAUGUUCCAAGGGUUGACCUGUUCGCCUAUUAAAGCAGUGUAUACAUUAUGUUGACAUAUAAAGAUC